rnacentral:rRNA from 1 species
GUAGGGGGCAAGCGUUAUCCGGAUUUACUGGGUGUAAAGGGAGCGUAGACGGCUGAGCAAGUCAGAAGUGAAAGCCCGGGGCUCAACCCCGGGACUGCUUUUGAAACUGUCCGGCUCGAGUGCAGGAGAGGUAAGCGGAAUUCCUAGUGUAGCGGUGAAAUGCGUAGAUAUUAGGAGGAACACCAGUGGCGAAGGCGGCUUGCUGGACUGUAACUGACGUUGAGGCUCGAAAGCGUGGGGAGC